rnacentral:rRNA from 1 species
AGAGUUUGAUCAUGGCUCAGAUUGAACGCUGGCGGCGUGCCUAACACAUGCAAGUCGAGCGGUAACAGGUGUAGCAAUACAUGCUGACGAGCGGCGAACGGGUGAGUAAUGCUUUGGAAUCUUCCCAGUAGUGGGGAAUAACCAGUCGAAAGAUUGGCUAAUACCGCAUACGUCGGAGACGAGAAAGCGGGGGAUCGUAAGACCUCGCGCUAUUGGAUGAGCCAAAGUCGGAUUAGCUAGUUGGUGGGGUAAUGGCCUACCAAGGCGACAAUCCGUAGCUGGUCUGAGAGGACGACCAGCCACACCGGAACUGAGACACGGUCCGGACUCCUACGGGAGGCAGCAGUGGGGAAUAUUGGACAAUGGGGGAAACCCUGAUCCAGCGACGCCGCGUGUGUGAAGAAGGCCUGCGGGUUGUAAAGCACUUUUAGUGGGGACAAAAAGUCAUGGGCGAAUACCCCGUGAUCUUGAUUUAACUCACAGAAAAAGCACCGGCUAACUCUGUGCCAGCAGCCGCGGUAAUACAGAGGGUGCGAGCGUUAAUCGGAAUUACUGGGCGUAAAGCGCGCGUAGACGGUUUGGUAAGUCAGAUGUGAAAUCCCUGGGCUCAACCUGGGAACUGCAUUUGAUACUGCCUGGCUAGAGUAUGGAAGAGGGAAGUGGAAUUUCCGGUGUAGCGGUGAAAUGCGUAGAUAUCGGAAGGAACACCAGUGGCGAAAGCGACUUCCUGGUCCAAUACUGACGUUCAUGUGCGAAAGCGUGGGGAGCAAACAGGAUUAGAUACCCUAGUAGUCC